rnacentral:misc_RNA from 1 species
UGUGAAUAUACUGGGGUCGUACUCACACGAGAGCAAGCCCAAAUUUUUACAAUGAAUGGUGACAGUUUAGUCUAUCCAAGUCGCUUUCCUGAUCGAUGGGCAGAAUGGGGAGAUUUGUCUCAAAUAUAUCCUAACUAUGAGCGCCCAGCAUACCCCUCCAUUCCUCCUCUGGAUUUUGCUAUGGAUGUGUCUCGAAUGAGGAAUGUAGCAUGUUAUAUUAGUCAUAGUUCAAGUCCCAAUGCUUUGGUGCAGCCUGUGCUUUAUGAUCACAACCAUGUAGCGUUCCCCCACAUGAUGCUCUUUGCAAUGGAGAAUAUUCCCCCUCUAAAGGAGAUCAGUAUUGAUUAUGGGGUAGCAGAUGAAUGGACAGGAAAGCUUGCCAUCUGUGAUUGACUAACUUAUAGUGGUUGAUUCAAUUUUGAAAAUGAUGCGGCAAAGCUGUUUCUCGUACAUUAUUUGCUGAGAUGAAGGGCACUGUUCUUGACAUUCCCGUUAUCUUGGUGACAGUCCAGACCGCAUCACUAGAUUCCUAAAACAAGUUGCUCUGAUAGCUGUUUUCUGCACCAGCUUGUAGAUCCUAUGUUGUAGAUAGCAUGGUGUUCAAGACUAGCUACAAGAGUGAAGAAAGUGAUAUUGCUG